UAGUGUGUUUGGGGUAAGUAGGUUGACCCGCCAGGGAUUUUUCCGUUCAGGAGUGAUACAAAGAAAAUUGUCAAAAAAUGCCUCUGCUAACAGAAUGUGGUCACACAGACUCAGUCAGAAUCGGAAUCUUGGAGGUCCAAGGGGCUUUUCUUGAACAUAAAAUCGCCCUGCUGAAAGCAAAAGAAAAAUUACAACUGGUCACCCCCAUUGAAAUAUCUGAAGUGCGUCACCAAAGCCACGUGACCUCCAGUCUUGAUGGGAUAAUAAUUCCAGGGGGCGAGAGCACAACCAUCAGCCUCUUCCUGAAAAGAAACAACAUGGUAGAACCGUUGAAAAAAUGGAUAGAAGACAGGAAUCACGUGACCUGGGGAACGUGCGCAGGAAUGAUAAUUUUAGCGAAACAAAAUGAGAAUCAGAAAAUAGUUGGGUGUCAUGGAUACGGAUGUCUCCCGGAACUUUUUUGGUCGUCAAGUCAACAGUUUUGAAGCAGACAUAAGUCUUAGUGACAGUUUUUUGAAAGUGUGUCCGGGAGAGAAAACCUUUCACGGCGUUUUCAUCCGAGCACCUGCCGUGGUUCAAACUUUUUCACCAAAGGUUGAAGUCCUUGCCUCUCUGAAACGAGCGGACAUGUCCGAACCGGUGAUUGUGGCUGUCCAGCAGGACAAUGUAAUGGCCACCGCCUUCCACCCGGAACUGACGGAAGACGUCAGGUGGCACCAGUACUUUAUAGAGCGUGUCUACAAGAACAAACAGGCCAUGACCGGAACAUGAUUAGGUUGUUCUAGAUUUUUUAAUGCAGUUACCUCUCUUUUACUACUCAAGAAUUUUUACUUUUAUUGAAAAUUGUGAUGUGUGGAUUU
rnacentral:misc_RNA from 1 species